rnacentral:rRNA from 1 species
AACGAACGCUGGCGGCAUGCCUAACACAUGCAAGUCGAACGAGACCUUCGGGUCUAGUGGCGCACGGGUGCGUAACGCGUGGGAACCUGCCCUUAGGUUCGGAAUAACUCCCCGAAAGAGGUGCUAAUACCGGUUAAUGUCUUCGGACCAAAGAUUUAUCGCCUUUGGAUGGGCCCGCGUUGGAUUAGCUAGUUGGUAGGGUAAAAGCCUACCAAGGCGACGAUCCAUAGCUGGUCUGAGAGGAGGAUCAGCCACACUGGGACUGAGACACGGCCCAGACGCCUGCGGGAGGCAGCAGUGGGGAAUAUUGGACAAUGGGCGAAAGCCUGAUCCAGCAAGGCCGCGUGAGUGAUGAAGGGCUUAGGGUUGUAAAGCUCUUUUACCCGGGAUGAUAAUGACAGUACCGGGAGAAUAAGCUCCGGCUAACUCCGU